AUCCAGAUGACGAGUCCCAAAUAGGACGAAAUGUGCAUCUUGGUU
rnacentral:hammerhead_ribozyme from 1 species